AUUGAACGCUAGCGGGAUGCUUUACACAUGCAAGUCGAACGAGUGGCGGACGGGUGAGUAAUAUAUCGGAACGUGCCCAGUAGCGGGGGAUAACUACUCGAAAGAGUGGCUAAUACCGCAUACUAUUGGAGCGGCCGAUAUCUGAAUAGCUAGUUGGUGGGGUAAAGGCUCACCAAGGCAACGAUGCGUAGCUGGUUUGAGAGGACGACCAGCAAGACUGUGAUGGAGACACGACCCAGACUCCUACGGGAGGUGGCGGUGGUGAAUUUUGGAAAGUGUGGUAAGCCUUAAUCCAGACAUCCGGAUGGUAUGAAAGGGCCUUCGGGUUUUAAAGUAGUUUUGGCAGAGAGGCGGUAUCUGCAGAAUAAGCACCGGCUAACUACGUGCCAGCAGCCGCGGUAAUUC
rnacentral:rRNA from 1 species